ACUUUGGCAGCUAUAGACUUAGUGCCUAAUAAACAUCGGCAGCUAUGGACUUAGUGCCUAUUGGACAAACACUGGUAGCUAUGGACUUAGUACCUGUUAGGAAUGGGUAGCUAUGGACUUAGUACCUAUUAGAUAAACACUGGUAACUAUGGAUUUAGUACCCGAUGAAUAAACUAUAGCAGCUAUGGAAUUAGUGCUUUACGAACAAGCAUUGGUAGCUAUGGAUUUAGUAUCAGUCCUAUAACCCUGGAAGCAAGGGACUUCGGAAUAAACAAAUGCAUGAUAGAUGACUCUUAGGAUAGAUCCGUAAGAGUAAAGAAGAUAAUGAGGAUGGGUAAUUGGGUUGAUUGUUUGAUUGUUUAAAGUUAAUAAUUAUAUUAUUGUGGGUUGAAAACUCUAAGUACUCACCAGGUUUCCCAACCUGACCACUCAGUUUAUUUAUAUCACAGGUGUUGAUAUGAAGUCACAUUACACUGAGAGAUUAAAGAGAUGUAGACUACUAGUGUAAAUAAAUGUAAGUUCCGUUCAUGGUUAAUAAUUAUAUUAUUGUGGGUUGAAAACUCUAAGUACUCACCAGGUUUCCCAACCUGACCACUCAGUUUAUUUAUAUCA
rnacentral:lncRNA from 1 species